GCCAAAUCCCCGCCGCUGAACCCUCGAGCCUCGUCGUCCCUAGGCCGCCAGGUGGGGAAGGAUGGCCGCAGAAGAUAUGCAAGCGCCACCAGAUAUGGCUCCCUCGAUUCCACUGCCGCUGACUCCCCGCAAGCCACAACAUCAUGUUGCAACCUAUCUGCCAGCGCCCCUGGUGCUCGUCGCGGUCGCGUCGAUGCCGAUCAGAUCCCCGCGCUCAGGGCGCGCCGCGGUUCCAUGGCGUCCCUGCAUGAAUCGGUGCUCUUCGCGGUGUGUCCGCUCGGCAUCGAGCGCACGGUCACUUUGAAGUCUGAUGCGGACGAGAUCGUCCAUGGCGGGCCGCGUUGGUGCGGCCCUGCAUCGGUGACGGUGCUGCCACUGGCAGCCCUUUAUCCGGCUUCCUCAACUGGAUCGAGGUGGUUGCCGCCGGCGGUCGCGUCCGCGGUUCGUCUCCAUGAACUCAGCCUAAAGUUCUUUAGUUGCAUCAGAUCUAUUAUCUUCAUUCAGUCCAAGCUUGGGCACUGCUAUGAUGUUUCGUUCGUGCCUCCCGGACAACUCAGUCCAAAGCUUGGGCGCUGCUAUGAUUCUCUUUUCAGGGAUGUCUAUUGGACUGCUUCAAUUCUAUGCUGAUAGCUCCUAACUCCUAAUGAAUCGAAAGAAACACACGCAGCUAACUGCAUGCAAUGAAUCUAUGGUGGUGUUUGCACUGCACUUGGAGGCUUGGAGUUGUACUUUUCAUCAUGGAAAACACUUCGUUACUAUGACUUCCGUGAGCAACAAACCUGUGUUUUGUGCCCUAAUUAACUAAUUUAUUUAUUUCUUCAGGGUGUUCAACAAUGGUAACUAUUGGUCACUUUAAAGAUAGAAUGUGCUAUUUCUUCAUUUAUAAUUGAGGAAAGAUGAUGUAAAGUAUCUCCACAAAUUCAUGUAGUUGUUUUCAUAAUGAACUGAUUGUAGACGGUCAAAUUCCUCGUUAUUAAUUAGGCCUAAACACAUUUAUACUACUUCCAUGUGGCAAGAUAUUAGUAUUUUUCCCUUUUCCUUAGAUUAGAAAGGAACCAACGAGAAGCAAUGGCCAAGAUUGGAUCCGUGCUGAAAUUAUAUAGGGAACAAUGAGAAUGAACACCACCGAAUUUGCUAGCAAAGUAUACCAGUUUAUAUAUGGUUGUGGUUCUCGUAAUGGUUGAUGAGUAUACCUGUUUACUUGAUUAAUAAUUAGGCUAAUGGUCGAUGGCUAAACCUGUUUACUCGGUGGCUUAGGGGUAUUCACUACCCUGCUGAAAUUAUUUUCUGCUGCUACCUUGUGCACAUCAUUUUCGCUCUCAGUUAGGUGACAUAAAUAGGAAAUUUAACAGAGUUGUUCAGGUUUUGCUUGAUGAGGGUGUGACAAGAUACUGAUUCUACUUGAUUUUUUUGGCAGGUAAUAUCCACCGAUUACCAUUUACGUAGAUGCUUUCAGCUUGUAUUUCCUUGAGUAUUUCCACUGAUUUGUGGUCUAUCAUUUAAAAAAAAAAAAAAUCAAGUGUGAGCAGAUAACUAAAAAUUGAACAUUAGACGCAAGUAUAAUACUUAAAAGAAGCGGUGAUGCUACCAUGAGAGCAAACUAUUUUUUCUUACAUGCGAACAAACUCGAUAGCCUGUGGCGGACUGGGAAGCGCCUCUCUGCACCAGCACCUCGAGGCCAAUGCCUCAAGCUCCUCCCAGAUGGUAGCCCCAUCCAGAGCACAACGCUGCAUUAUUGGACAAAACUACUGAUACUAUUUAUUCUCGUUUCUUUGUUGAUUCAAUGGCUUACGGAAAUACUGAUUAUUUUUGUUUUAUGUAAGUACUAGCACAGAUUGAUAAAUGGAGCACCGUGGCUCAGCUGAUCCCCCAUUAGGUUUCACUCUCCUUUGCCCUUAUGAUGAUUCCAUUAUGUUUCCGGAGAUUUUCCUUGAUCAGCGAUGUUUCCUUAUUCUCUUGCUUCUUAUUAUCGUGACUAGGUUUACUUUGAAUCAACUGAAACUUGUUGAUCAUGUAUAAGCAAUGGUUUUGUGCAUUCAUUAAAUCAGUAUUAACUUGCAGUACGUGGAUGGUAAGAUUAGUAUUUCAGUUUUAUGCUGUUCUAGAAGAAUAGAGAUUUUUAUUCUUGUUGGAUUUUAUAUGGAAUCUCAUGCACAUGUCCAAUGAUUUUUUACAGUAGCUGAAACACAAUGGUUUAAUUAUUUAUGGUCAAUUCAUAGCACUGACCACUUCUUACUGCCAUCCUUUCUCGUGUCUAGGAAAAAGAGUUCACUCUAAUAUCACAAGGUAGGAUGCAAGACCUCAUUUUAGUAAUGGCCGAUGUUUAUUUCUGGAGCUAUCAUCAAGUUUUCCUAAUUGAAUCAUAGUUCCAUGUAGAUAACCUUCCAAUACAUAGAGCAAAAUAUGACUCUUUGUUUUCAACAUUCCAUAAUAUAUGCAGAUCAAUUAUCAAGCAGUACCCUCCUGUUAUGUAGAUAAUUUAGUUGCCAUGUGUGUUUAGGGGUAUGUGUUAUGAAUAGGUUGAGGUUCUGCAAUGAUUUGUGCCCUAAUCAGAAAUACGAAGUGGUGGUAAAUAAACAGAGCCCUUUGGUUUUACUUGCAACUUUCGGUUCAUCUGCACUCCGUAAAGCAUGAGAAGGUGGUGAGUGUUUUAAUUUUCUGAGUUCCCGAUGCAGACAUAACCUCUUCAGCCAAGAGGAGUUUGGCGGGUUAAUCAUCUCACCUCAAGAGCAUUAAUAUUUUUCAAUAUCACCUGGAAUGUUAAGCAUGAACAUUUUCUCACUUAGUUAUAUCAAUCAGUACUUUUGUUGUGGUCGUUCUUGGGAGCAGGCAUGUGCAUUUUACAGUAUUCAUUUAUAAAGGAUGUAGAUGUGUGUGCUUUCGAUCUCCAAAAAUAUCUUAGACCCAGUUCUUGUAGUGCUUUGACAUGAGAACAAGUGCAGAGUUCAAAGAGACCAGACCCCCUCUGAAUCAUGCAUGCAAUAAAUCGCUAUUAUUCAUUAAAUGAUGAAUUUCUGCUCCUGAUAAACUGGAAAUGUGCUACUCCUGGUACGAUCAUUUACUGACAAUUGUGUUUGCGGAAUGAGUACAGUUUGGCCAUGUACUUAUCUAAGCCCAUGGAGUUGCCAGCUUUCAUUUUUUUGCAAGUUCCUUCCCCUACGAUGUGAGUGUUUGAGACAAGGUUCGAGAUUUAUGUUUUGCAAGCUAAUUUGUAGGAUCUGGGCAUUGUUGUAACAAUUUUUUUACAAUCAAAGCAUAAUUUAUCCAACAAUCAUUGCAGAGUGUGGUGGUUGUAUGCAGAACCAUGCAUGUUCUGAAAUUAUCCUUCCACGUUAUUAUUAGCAAUGUGUCUUUUUUUUUGAUGCUUCAUAUUUUAGUGUGACUUUGUCUUGAUUUUAACAGAGACGUGUGUUCCACAUGCCUAUUUACCAUCUGAGGUAAGAAGCGUGAAUGCCUACCGUCAGGUUUUAGUGAUGGCAAUGAAAAAAGAAUGUCUGCAGGUGCAUGGUUGGUAGAAUUUCCUUCGAUGUUAUGUUCAGAAUCUUAUAUCUAUUUGCAUGUCAUGUAUUUGGAAUAGCAUGUUAUGUUGUAUUUUCAUUUAAAUAAUUCACCGCAUAUGUGUUUUUGAUAGAUCAUUGUUGAUGCAGGACAAUGUGAGCAAUAUCUACAAAUCUUUGUUGAUAUUUCAGAAUGGCGUUUCCCUGAAAGAACAUUUUGGAACAUGCAACUUUAAUUAUGAUGAUGCUGGCACUUGAUUAGUUGACAGGGUGAAAGGUUCUCUAGCAAGAUCAUGACGUAAGUUGCAUGGCCUGUGAUGAUCAGUUGAGCAGGUUAUGGUCACGAUGGUUGUCUGGAUGGCAAGAAUGUAAGUUGCAUGGCCUGUGAUCAUCAAGUGUCUGGUAGAUGAUAUGUUUUUUUGUUUAAGGAUGAAGAUGAGGAUGAUAUUGACUUAUUAUUACCGUAGAGAAGUAGAAGGUCCAGGUAGGCGAUCCGUGACCCAAAUGACAAAAAUAUAUUAUUCAGUCUGUCAUUUUAGACUUGCCUUUCCAUUUGUUAGCAUCUUGGUUCUACAGCUCAAUUUGCUCAUGUGCAUGAUACUAAACUGUGUACUAAUAUUUGUUAAAGUUGUAUAUGAUGUUUUUGCAAGCCGACUUUUGCGUGUAUGAUGCCUUGAUCUAAUUCAUUAUUCACACACGUAAUCCGUGAGAGGUACCAGAUAAAUAACUUGAUGUUAGAGUGAUGAACAAGCUAAGAAGGUUCCUGUGAAGGUACUCAAAUGAUAUGAACUGAAGCUCUGUAUUUUGAUUGGUUGUCCAGUCUGCAUUGAAUAUUAAAUUUCCGCACUUCUUCUGUCAUACUCAGGCUUUUGCAGAGAUAUUGUCCGACUAAGUUAUCGUGGGCUAGAUAAAAAAUUUAAAUCCUUGGACAACUAUAAAAGUGUGACAAUUAAUAUUGAGAAACUAAGGGCUGGCUUACAAAGGUUGGUACCGAAUUAUAUGAAACAGAAUUUUGUGGAGCUGGCAUGCUCAUACAUCAUGGUGACAUAUAGCCUUGACAUUCUACAUUUUUCUUAAUCUGUAUUUGCAUACUUGCCAUGUUUCCACUAUUAUGAGUACCUUUCACCAUGAUUAGCAUGAACCUCAUAAAACAUGCCAGACAAAUUACUCUAGCCUGAAUGACCAUUGUGUUAGGCUUACGUGUACUUAACGUAACUCAAGUUGAGGCAAUCAAGAUCUCCUAGAACCUUUUAUAUUGAAAAUUCAAGAACAUAAAAUUAUCUGAAUAUUAACAUGCAUGUGCCUUUGCGUGAGAAAUCAGACUAAGGAAAACUAAUUGAGUUGUGACCGUAUCUAUAAAAUUUGUGCAAAUGUUAUUGAGCUUUGAGAUGUGAAGUUGAGCUUCAAGCUGACGAUAGAGAGAUUGCACAGCAUGAAGUUUUCAGUUCUAAAACAUAAUAUUUAGGCAAGUCUUGCUGAACAAUAACCGCUUGCUGAAUGAUAACCAAAGAGAUUUUCCAAGUAAGUACAUUGUUAUGUCUAUCCAAAAUUACCAAAUAUAUCAGUAUUCUGAAGUCAAUAUUUUCUGAAAUGCGUUUGUUUAUUUUCCCCAGGUUCUCUAAGUAAUCAAGCGAAGAGGAAAGGGAGCAUGCCGAGAAGCUAAUGGAGUACCAAAUAUCAUUGAAUUCAUUGGCGCUUUAGUUGAUGUAGCAUGGUGCCACGAGUGCUAGCUAGAAACUGACCAAAUAGUAAUGUCAUCUUCUUGUCUCAUAAACUUUAUUGAGGUUGAGGUAUAUGAGGUUUAUGUGCGGAUCACACUAAUGCUUCAAUGCUACUUCGCACUCAAAUUCAUAGAGGUGAGGAGCCAUUUUAUUUCCAAUGUAAUUAUCAGUACUACUGCUUUUCAUUAGCAUAUAAAUAAACUUAUAUGCUGGAUAGUCCAAGUUGUAACUAAUUCAGCCUCCUCUAGCCUUAGUACAUGUAUGAAAACCCAAAGCAGCUCUAUAUAUAUUGAUAGUUUUGAAGGAAGAAAAUUGCAUGCAUCGAUACAAA